GGGGCGAGCGGCGGACGGGUUAGUAACGCGUGGGAACAUACCCAAUGGUACGGAAUAGCCUCGGGAAACUGAGAGUAAUACCGUAUGUGCCCUUCGGGGGAAAGAUUUAUCGCCAUUGGAUUGGCCCGCGUUAGAUUAGAUAGUUGGUGGGGUAAUGGCCUACCAAGUCUACGAUCUAUAGCUGGUUUUAGAGGAUGAUCAGCAACACUGGGACUGAGACACGGCCCAGACUCCUACGGGAGGCAGCAGUGGGGAAUCUUAGACAAUGGGCGCAAGCCUGAUCUAGCCAUGCCGCGUGUGUGAUGAAGGCCUUAGGGUCGUAAAGCACUUUCGCCAGAGAUGAUAAUGACAGUAUCUGGUAAAGAAACCCCGGCUAACUCCGUGCCAGCAGCCGCGGUAAUACGGAGGGGGUUAGCGUUGUUCGGAAUUACUGGGCGUAAAGCGUACGUAGGCGGAUCAGAAAGUAUGGGGUGAAAUCCCAGGGCUCAACCCUGGAACUGCCUCAUAAACUCCUGGUCUUGAGUUCGAGAGAGGUGAGUGGAAUCCAAGUGUAGAGGUGAAAUUCGUAGAUAUUUGGAGGAACACCAGUGGCGAAGGCGGCUCACUGGCUCGAUACUGACGCGAGGUACGAAAGUGUGGGGAGCAAACAGGAUUAGAUACCCUGGUAGUCCACACCGUAAACGAUGAAUGCCAGUCGUCGGGAGCAUGCUAUUCGGUGACACACCCUAACGGAUUAAGCUUCCGCCUGGGGAGUACGGUCGCAAGAUAAAACUCAAAUGAAGUUGAGACGGGGGCCGCAAA
rnacentral:rRNA from 1 species